rnacentral:rRNA from 1 species
GGGUGCGAUCAUACCAGCACUAAUGCACCGGAUCCCAUCAGAACUCCGCAGUUAAGCGUGCUUGGGCGAGAAUAGUUCUAAGAUGGGCUUGUCUUACGACUU